CCUACGGGAGGCAGCAGUGGGGAAUAUUGCACAAUGGGGGGAACCCUGAUGCAGCGACGCCGCGUGGGUGAAGGAGUAUUUCGGUAUGUAAAGCCCUAUCAGCAGGGAAGAACAAUGACGGUACCUGACUAAGAAGCACCGGCUAAAUACGUGCCAGCAGCCGCGGUAAUACGUAUGGUGCAAGCGUUAUCCGGAUUUACUGGGUGUAAAGGGAGCGCAGGCGGCGCGUUAAGCCUGGUGUGAAAGUCCGCGGCCCAACCGCGGGACUGCAGUGGGAACUGGCGCGCUGGAGUGCCGGAGGGGUAGGCGGAAUGCCUAGUGUAGCGGUGAAAUGCGUAGAUAUUAGGAGGAACACCAGUGGCGAAGGCGGCCUACUGGACGGUGACUGACGCUGAGGCUCGAAAGCGUGGGGAGCAAACAGGAUUAGAUACCCUUGUAGUC
rnacentral:rRNA from 1 species